rnacentral:tRNA from 1 species
GCCGGCGUGAUGGAAUUGGCAGACGUGCUGGACUCAAAAUCCAGUGGUGGUAACACCGUAUCGGUUCGACCCCGAUCGCCGGCACCA